rnacentral:rRNA from 1 species
ACGAACGCUGGCGGCAUGCCUAACACAUGCAAGUCGAACGCCCCGCAAGGGGAGUGGCGCACGGGUGAGUAACGCGUGGGGAUCUGCCCAUCGGUGGGGAAUAACCUCGGGAAACUGAGGCUAAUACCGCAUACGCCCUGUAAAGGGGAAAGAUUUAUCGCCGAUGGAUGAACCCGCGUCCGAUUAGCUUGUUGGUGAGGUAAUGGCUCACCAAGGCUUCGAUCGGUAGCUGGUCUGAGAGGAUGACCAGCCACACUGGGACUGAGACACGGCCCAGACUCCUACGGGAGGCAGCAGUGGGGAAUAUUGGACAAUGGGCGCAAGCCUGAUCCAGCAAUGCCGCGUGAAUGAUGAAGGCCUUAGGGUUGUAAAGUUCUUUUGCCUGGGAGCAAAUAUUCUUAGUUAAAAGCUGAGAGUUAUGAGAGUACCAGGAGAAUAAGCACCGGCUAACUACGU